rnacentral:rRNA from 1 species
CCUACGGGUGGCAGCAGUGAGGAAUAUUGGUCAAUGGACGAGAGUCUGAACCAGCCAAGUAGCGUGAAGGAUGACUGCCCUAUGGGUUGUAAACUUCUUUUAUAAAGGAAUAAAACGAGGCACGUGUGCCUUUUUGCAUGUACUUUAUGAAUAAGGAUCGGCUAACUCCGUGCCAGCAGCCGCGGUAAAACGGAGGAUCCGAGCGUUAGACGGCUUUAUUGGGUUUCAAGGGAGCGUAGAGGGGUUGUUAAGUCCGUUGUGAAAGUUUGCGGCUCCACCGGAAAAUUGCAAUUGAUACUGGCAGUCUUGCGUACAGUUGAGGUAGGCGUACUUCGUGGUGUAGCGG